rnacentral:rRNA from 1 species
GACAGCAAUAUGAAGGCCAGGCUGAAGACUUUGCCGGAUUAGCUGAGAGGUGGUGCAUGGCCGUCGUCAGUUCGUACUGUGAAGCAUCCUGUUAAGUCAGGCAACGAGCGAGACCCACGCCCACAGUUGCCAGCGUACUCUCUGGAGUGACGGGUACACUGUGGGGACCGCCGCUGCUAAAGCGGAGGAAGGAAUGGGCAACGGUAGGUCAGUAUGCCCCGAAUAUCCCGGGCUACACGCGAGCUACAAUGGUUGGUACAAUGGGUAUCUACCCCGAAAGGGGACGGGAAUCUCCUAAAACCAAUCUUAGUUCGGAUUGAGGGCUGCAACUCGCCCUCAUGAAGCUGGAAUCCGUAGUAAUCGCGUUUCAACAGAACGCGGUGAAUACGUCCCUGCUCCUU